rnacentral:lncRNA from 1 species
UGGGAAAAAUUUGUGGCGGUGGCUAGAAAUUGAUAGAAACGGUGGGAAAAACACACGAACUGGACUCUAACAAGACCUAACCAGCAACAAGACCUCAACUAGGACACAAACUCAACACCGCGGACUCUAAAACUGAAAUAUGCAAAGGCUAUGGCGCGGAAGGGUUGUAGGACAGGAAAACAAUAUGGCACUAUACUUAUGGGACAAACACAAGAACACUCGAAACUAAGAGUAGAUGUGAACCUAACGGUAUACCUAAAGCUUUGAUUACCACUUGAUGAGAAGAAGGGUGGCCCGAUCUUCCGAAAGGUUCUAGUAACUCUCGAUUUGGUGGAGACGAGACACAAAUCGAUCCGGCUUGCGAACAACACGAUCCGAAACCCUGCAAUUUUAUUUUAUUUUUUCGAUAUUUUUCUUUUACUUAGGAGCACUGAAUAAGUAACCAUAGAAAAUUUGAGCUUAAACAAGUGAAAUACGUGGCCUGCGGAAUUUUUUGAAGAUUGCAAAAAAUGUGAAAAAACAUCACGAGGUGAAAACUCAAACUUCGGAGGCAAAUUUAUAGAUUCUAAAAUUUUCAAACCUGCCAAUGGAAGGAACAGACAGAUCAAAAAAAAAUUUUUAGAUCGAUUUUGCUAUAUGGAACGUUGAAAUCGGAGUUCAUAUGUGAAAGUUAUGGUUGUUUUAAUAACGGACUCCGAAUUAGAGGACAAAACGGUGCGAAAGUGGGAAAAAAUUUCGGCAGUGGCUAGAAAUUGAUGGAAACGGUGGGGAAAAACACACGAACUGGACUCUAACAAGACCUAACCAGCAACAAGACAUCGACUAGGACACAAACUCAACACUGCGGACUCUAAGACUAAAAUAUGCAAAGGCUAUGGCUUGAAAGGUUUGUAGGACAGGAAAACGAUAUGACACUGGACUUAUGGGACGAACACAAGAACACUCAAAACUAAGGAUAGAUGUGAAUCUAACGAUAUACCUAAAGCUUUGAUUACCACUUGAUGAGAACAAGGGUGGCCUGAUCUUCCGAAAGGUUCUAGUAACUCUCGAUUUGGUGGAGACGAGACACAAAUCGAUUUGGCUUUCGAACAACCCGAUCCGAAACCCUGCAUUUUUUUUAUUUUUUUUAUAUUUUUCUUUUACCUAGGAGCACUAAAAAGUAACCACAAAAAAUUUGUGCUUAAACAAGUGAAAGACGUGGCCUGCAGAAUUUUCUGAAGAUUGCGAAAAAUGUGAAAAAACUUCAUGAGGAGAAAACUCAAACUUUGGAGGCAAAUUUUAAGAUAAAAUUAUCGAACCCGCUAAAGUCACAUACAGACAGAUCUGAAAUUUUUUUAUGAUCGAAUUUGAUAUAGGUAACGUUGAAAUCAGAGUUUGUAUGUGAAAGUUAUGGUUUGUUUACAAAUGCACUCCGAAAUAGAGGAAAAACGGUCCAGAAGUGGGAAAAAUUUGCGGCGCUGGCUAGAAAUUGAUGAAAAUAGUGGGGAAAAACACACGAACAGGACUCUAACAAGACCCAACCAGCAACAAGACCUCGACCAGGACACAAACUCAACACUGCGGACUCUGAAACUGAAAUAUGCAAAAGCUACGGCGCGGAAGGGAUGUAGGACAAGAAAACGAUAUGGCACUAGACUUAUGGGACGAACACAAGAACACUCGAAACUAAGGGUAGAUGUGAACCUAACGGUAUACCUGAAGCUUUGAUUACCACUUGAUGAGAACAAGGGUGGCCCGAUCUUCCGAAAGGUUCUGGUAACUCUCGAUUUAGUGGAGACGAGACACAAAUCGAUCCGGCUUCAGAACAACACGAUCCAAAACCCUACAAUUUUUUUUAUUUUUUUUGAUAUUUUAUUUUACUUAGGAGCACUAAAGAAGUAACCACGGAAAAUUUGAGCUUAAACAAGUGAAAGACAUGGCCUGCGGAAUUUUCUGAAGAUUGCGAAAAAUGUGAAAAAAACUUCACGAGGUUAAAACUCAAACUUCGGAGGCGAAUUUGGAGAUUCUAAAAUUUUCAAGCCCGCUAGUACUAGGGACAGGCAGAUCCAAAAAUUUUUCUGAUCGAUUUUGAUAUAUAGAACGUUGAAAUCAGAGUUCGUUGCGAAAGUUGUGGCUGUUUUAUGAACAGACUCCAAAUUAGAGGACAAAACGGUCUGAAAGUGGGAAAAAAUUGUGGCGGUGGCUAGAAAUUGAUGGAAACGGUGGGAAAAAACACACGAACUAGACUCUAACAAGACCUAACCAGCAACAAGACCUCAACUAGGACACAAACUCAACACCGCGGACUCUGAAACUGAAAUAUGAAAAGGCUAUGGCACGGAAGGGUUGUAGAACAGGAAAACAAUAUGGCACUAUACUUAUGGGACAAACACAAGAACACUCAAAACUAAGAGUAGAUGUGAACCUAACGGUAUACCUAAAGCUUUGAUUACCACUUGAUGAGAACAAGGGUGACCCGAUCUUCCGAAAGGUUCUAGUAACUCUCGAUUUGGUGGAGACGAGACACAAAUCGAUUUGGCUUUCGAACAACACGAUCCGAAACCCUGCAUUUUUUUAUUUUUUUUAUAUUUUUCUUUUACCUAGGAGCACUAAAAAGUAACCACAAAAAAUUUGUGCUUAAACAAGUGAAAGACGUGGCCUGCAGAAUUUUCUAAAGAUUGCGAAAAAUGUGAAAAAACUUCAUGAGGAGAAAACUCAAACUUUGGAGGCAAAUUUCAAGAUAAAAUUAUCAAACCCGCUAAAGUCACAGACAGACAGAUCUGAAAUUUUUUUAUGCUCGAAUUUGAUAUAGGUAACGUUGAAAUCAGAGUUUGUAUGUGAAAGUUAUGGUUUGUUUACAAAUGCACUUCGAAAUACAGGAAAAAACGGUCCACAAGUGGGAAAAAUUUGCGGCGCUGGCUAGAAAUUGAUGGAAACGGUGGGGAAAACACACGAACUGGACUCUAACAAGACCUAACCAGCAACAAGACCUCGACCAGGACACAAACUCAACACUGCGGACUCUGAAACUGAAAUAUGCAAAGGUUAUGGCGCGGAAGGGAUGUAGGACAAGAAAACGAUAUGGCACUGGACUUAUGGGACGAACACAAGAACACUCAAAACUAAGGGUAGACGUGAACCUAACGGUAUACCUGAAGCUUUGAUUACCACUUGAUGAGAACAAGGGUGGCCCGAUCUUUCGAAAGGUUCUGGUAACUCUCGAUUUAGUGGAGACGAGAUACAAAUCGAUCCGGCUUCGGAACAACACGAUCCGAAACCCUGCAAUUUUUUUUAUUUUUUUGAUAUUUUAUUUUACUUAGGAGCACUAAAGAAGUAACCACAAAAAAUUUGAGCUUAAACAAGUGAAAGACAUGGCCUGCGGAAUUUUCUGAAGAUUGCGAAAAAUAUGAAAAAAACUUCACGAGGUUAAAACUCAAACUUCGGAGGCGAAUUUGGAGAUUCUAAAAUUUUCAAGCCCGCUAGUACUAGGGACAGGCAGAUCCAAAAAUUUUUCUGAUCGAUUUUGAUAUAUAGAACGUUGAAUUCAGAGUUCGUAUGCGAAAGUUGUAGCUGUUUUAUGAACAGACUCCAAAUUAGAGGACAAAAUGGUCUGAAAGUGGGAAAAAUUUGUGGCGGUGGCUAGAAAUUGAUAGAAACGGUGGGAAAAACACACGAACUGGACUCUAACAAGACCUAACCAGCAACAAGACCUCAACUAGGACACAAACUCAACACCGCGGACUCUAAAACUGAAAUAUGCAAAGGCUAUGGCGCGGAAGGGUUGUAGGACAGGAAAACAAUAUGGCACUAUACUUAUGGGACAAACACAAGAACACUCGAAACUAAGAGUAGAUGUGAACCUAACGGUAUACCUAAAGCUUUGAUUACCACUUGAUGAGAAGAAGGGUGGCCCGAUCUUCCGAAAGGUUCUAGUAACUCUCGAUUUGGUGGAGACGAGACACAAAUCGAUCCGGCUUGCGAACAACACGAUCCGAAACCCUGCAAUUUUAUUUUAUUUUUUCGAUAUUUUUCUUUUACUUAGGAGCACUGAAUAAGUAACCAUAGAAAAUUUGAGCUUAAACAAGUGAAAUACGUGGCCUGCGGAAUUUUUUGAAGAUUGCAAAAAAUGUGAAAAAACAUCACGAGGUGAAAACUCAAACUUCGGAGGCAAAUUUAGAGAUUCUAAAAUUUUCAAACCUGCCAAUGGAAGGAACAGACAGAUCAAAAAAAAAAAAUUAGAUCGAUUUUGCUAUAUGGAACGUUGAAAUCGGAGUUCAUAUGUGAAAGUUAUGGUUGUUUUAAUAACGGACUCCGAAUUAGAGGACAAAACGGUGCGAAAGUGGGAAAAAAUUUCGGCAGUGGCUAGAAAUUGAUGGAAACGGUGGGGAAAAACACACGAACUGGACUCUAACAAGACCUAACCAGCAACAAGACAUCGACUAGGACACAAACUCAACACUGCGGACUCUAAGACUAAAAUAUGCAAAGGCUAUGGCUUGAAAGGUUUGUAGGACAGGAAAACGAUAUGACACUGGACUUAUGGGACGAACACAAGAACACUCAAAACUAAGGAUAGAUGUGAAUCUAACGAUAUACCUAAAGCUUUGAUUACCACUUGAUGAGAACAAGGGUGGCCUGAUCUUUCGAAAGGUUCUAGUAACUCUCGAUUUGGUGGAGACGAGACACAAAUCGAUUUGGCUUUCGAACAACACGAUAAGAAACCCUGCAUUUUUUUUAUUUUUUUUAUAUUUUUCUUUUACCUAGGAGCACUAAAAAGUAACCAAAAAAAAUUUGUGCUUAAACAAGUGAAAGACGUGGCCUGCAGAAUUUUCUGAAGAUUGCGAAAAAUGUGAAAAAAACUUCAUGAGGAGAAAACUCAAACUUUGGAGGCAAAUUUCAAGAUAAAAUUAUCGAACCCGCUAAAGUCACAGACAGACAGAUCUAAAAUUUUUUUAUGAUCGAAUUUGAUAUAGGUAACGUUGAAAUCAGAGUUUGUAUGUGAAAGUUAUGGUUUGUUUACAAAUGCACUCCGAAAUAGAGGAAAAACGGUCCAGAAGUGGGAAAAAUUUGCGGCGCUGGCUAGAAAUUGAUGAAAAUAGUGGGGAAAAACACACGAACAGGACUCUAACAAGACCCAACCAGCAACAAGACCUCGACCAGGACACAAACUCAACACUGCGGACUCUGAAACUGAAAUAUGCAAAGGCUACGGCGCGGAAGGGAUGUAGGACAAGAAAACGAUAUGGCACUAGACUUAUGGGACGAACACAAGAACACUCGAAACUAAGGGUAGAUGUGAACCUAACGGUAUACCUGAAGCUUUGAUUACCACUUGAUGAGAACAAGGGUGGCCCGAUCUUCCGAAAGGUUCUGGUAACUCUCGAUUUAGUGGAGACGAGACACAAAUCGAUCCGGCUUCAGAACAACACGAUCCAAAACCCUACAAUUUUUUUUAUUUUUUUUGAUAUUUUAUUUUACUUAGGAGCACUAAAGAAGUAACCACAGAAAAUUUGAGCUUAAACAAGUGAAAGACAUGGCCUGCGGAAUUUUCUGAAGAUUGCGAAAAAUGUGAAAAAAACUUCACGAGGUUAAAACUCAAACUUCGGAGGCGAAUUUGGAGAUUCUAAAAUUUUCAAGCCCGCUAGUACUAGGG